rnacentral:rRNA from 1 species
AUUGAACGCUGGCAGCAUGCUUUACACAUGCAAGUCGAACGGUAACAGGCCGCAAGGUGCUGACGAGUGGCGAACGGGUGAGUAAUGCAUCGGAACGUGCCCAGUCGUGAGGGAUAACUACUCGAAAGAGUAGCUAAUACCGCAUACGAUCUAUGGAUGAAAGCGGGGGACCGUAAGGCCUCGCGCGAUUGGAGCGGCCGAUGUCAGAUUAGGUAGUUGGUGGGGUAAAGGCUCACCAAGCCAACGAUCUGUAGCUGGUCUGAGAGGACGACCAGCCACACUGGGACUGAGACACGGCCCAGACUCCUACGGGAGGCAGCAGUGGGGAAUUUUGGACAAUGGGCGCAAGCCUGAUCCAGCAAUGCCGCGUGCAGGAAGAAGGCCUUCGGGUUGUAAACUGCUUUUGUACGGAACGAAACGGCUCUGGUUAAUACCCGGGGCUAAUGACGGUACCGUAAGAAUAAGCACCGGCUAACUACGUG